AACGAACGCUGGCGGCAGGCCUAACACAUGCAAGUCGAGCGAGCAUUUCGGUGCUAGCGGCGGACGGGUGAGUAACGCGUGGGAACGUGCCCUUUUCUGCGGAAUAGUCCUGGGAAACUGGGGGUAAUACCGCAUACGCCCUUUUGGGGAAAGAUUUAUCGGUGCAGGAUCGGCCCGCGUUGGUUUAGGUAGUUGGUGGGGUAAUGGCCCACCAAGCCGACGAUCCCUAGCUGGUUUGAGAGGAUGAUCAGCCACACUGGGACUGAGACACGGCCCAGACUCCUACGGGAGGCAGCAGUGGGGAAUCUUAGACAAUGGGGGCAACCCUGAUCGAGCCAUGCCGCGUGAGUGAUGAAGGCCUUAGGGUUGUAAAGCUCUUUCAGCUGGGAAGAUAAUGACGGUACCAGCAGAAGAAGCCCCGGCUAACCCCGUG
rnacentral:rRNA from 1 species